AACCUAAAUAAAAAAGGGACUCUCAUCUCUUUCAACAGAGAAAAAAAGACAGGCAGAAAACGGCUUCAUCAAAAAGGAAGCUAAGAGCGGCCAACCUAAUUUCACUGGGGGGAAAACCCGGCAAACUCCUCUCUUCAUUCUAAGAAAGCCACCCAGCCGCACCCUUUACCCCUAAAGAAAAUCCAAAAAGCUUCAGCCGCCUACUACUUCUCGGAAAUCCAAUAAUCUUUUGCUUCAGCAAUCAAUGGAAAACAAGGGAUUUAAAGGAAUCAUAUGAAGCAAAUUAAAUUGAUUUCCAUGCCAACAUAAGAAAUCAAAGGAGAUAGCUAAAGAGGGGAUUGGAGACAUAGGAAGAACUGUUUUUUUUUUCUUGGUUUUGCAUUGAAGUUUUGCUUCCUGGCACUGAUGCCGUCGCUGAAACAGUGGCAGUAGGUAACCAUUUUCCGGUCGAGGGCGCUAGUUCGAGGUUCAGGUCAUUUUGCAUCAGAGAUUUUCUUUUUUCCACUGUAUAUAUUGAAGAAUAUGCAGCAAUAAAGGAGUUUUAAGGUGUUCAACAAUGGAGAAUGGGUUAUUGUAAAUUCAGUUUCAUAUGUUAUCUGUGUCAUCUUAUAGAUCAAACUGAGGGGAGGAGCACAAAAGCGCAAUUUCUCGAAGGGAAAGGAAUCAAGAGGUUGAUCUUCUCUCUUUGCUGUGGAAGUGGAACUAUUGGCUUUUUCUGAACCAAGUUUGAACCGAUUGAUAAUGAAAUCAAUCGUCUUUUGAUCUUUGUAUAUCUGUUCAAAAGCAAAUGAUAUAAGAGUGGUUAUACUUUAAGUUUGGUGCAUA